ACAGGUGUGGUUCAGUGGUUAGAGCAUUGGCCUGAGUACCAAAGGGUCGUGGGUUUAAUUCCCGAUUCCUGGA
rfam:Myotis lucifugus cont2.35928, whole genome shotgun sequence.